UUAAGGGCCUGAAGCAUCACCCAUAUGAAGAAAGGCUGAGAGACCUGGGACUCUUCAGUCUGGAGAAGAGAAGGCUGAGAGGGGAUCUUAUAACUGUUUAUAAAUAUCUAAAGUGUGGGAGUCAAGUUGAUGGGGGCAGACUCUUUUCUGCGGUGAGCAACAAUAGAACAAGGGGCAAUGGGCAGAAACUGGAACACAGGAAGUUCCAUACUAAUACAAGGAAGAACUUCACUGUCAGAGUGACGCAGCACUGGAAUAGGCUUCUGGGAGGGGUUGUGGAGUCUCCUUCUCUGGAGAUAUUCAAGACCUGUCUGGAUUUCUACCUGUGUAAGGAGCUUCCUUUAGCAAGGAGAUUGAACUUGAUGAUCUCUGGAGGCCCCUUCCAACCUCUACAAUUCCAUGAUUCUCUGAUAAAAUUUUGCUCUUCUUCACUAUUAUCCUUAGCUCUUUUAUUAUCUGUCACCUCUGAUUUAUCUGUCCUAGAGAAAUACAGUUUCCCCAUUCUAGUCCACUGUACCUAAUCUCUUCAGUGUCUCUAAAUUUAUUCAGAACCAAAAAAGAACCCUCAGGUUUCCCAUUCAUUCUUCAUCCUCUGAGCUACUUAGAAUCUUGCCCUUCUAUAUUAUGCAAUAUCCCUUCCUUACAUAGUCUUUGUCUCCCUUAGCAUUUUUCUCAAGUUCAUCCUAUCUCAAUUCCCUCACACCAGUAUUAUAUAUGUAGUAUGCAUCUUCUCCAGAUUUUUAUAUGCAACAUUUCAUCUUUGUUCCCUUAUGUCUCCUAGGACUUUGUAUUCCCUUCUAGAAUUACUAGAUAAUUACCUUCCAGACCACAUCUAAAAAUAUUUCAACUUCUUCCCUUUCAGUGCUAGGAUAUGUCUCUCUCUCUCUCUCUCUCUCCACAGUACAGCUUACUAAGAUUUGCAUCAGCCAUUGCAACUGGGACAACCAAUUACACUGGUACUAUCCCAGUUACGUUAACUUACAGUCUUCAUUUCUGUGCAUGACCAUGGUUGAGAGAUUCAGAUUUUUGUUACUAUAAUUUACUGAAUAUAGGCACGAAUCCACUUCUAUUCUAAGGUUUUCUGACCAUCACUUAGAAGUUGAAAGAAGAUGUCCUUGUUAGAAGAGUUGAAUGGAGUGUACCAGCUGUAAAUGGCAAUAACCUUGACCAUUAAUCACAGAAAGUAGAACUGCAAGUAGAAAGCACUACCACUUCAAGUAGAAAUUAAGACUAGUUAAAUACUUUAAUGUAGGCAAAUGUUACUAGUAGACUCAGAGGUAAGGGGACCCUGCAUUCCUCGUCCACAAAAGAAAGCCUAUACUGGAGAGAAGACACACUAGCCUUGUGGAUGAACCACUCAGCACUGAUCUCUGUACAGAAUUGAAAUAAAUAUCUCACACCUCUGUGUGCACAUCAGCUCCUUGCAUACCUGACUAAAGAGCCCAGAUUUUGGGACAUGCAUUUUUGGAAUGCACUUCAUCUCCCUCUUUUGAAAAGAAGGGGGCGUAGAAUGGAAAGAAGAGUAGAAAAAUGGAAAACCACCACAGUCACCAAGCAAGAAAGAGGGCAGUCAGGUAAAGUCAUCCAUACCCAUGUUAUAAACUUAGGGCCACUCUGAUCUCAGCCCGUUUUCCUCCUUGUCCUCACAUACUCUUCCACACUAGAGGAAUGCAGUAAAGCCUUCUCAGAGAGAUCUUAGGAAGGGUUGCAUUGGUUAGACUGUCCCACCAGGUGGCACUGGAACAGUAGCACAAAUCUCACCGGCCUUGCAGAAUUUGCCUCGGCAUUGGCAUUGCAUGGCUUCACCACUCUGCUUUUAUCCUCAAGGUUAGAUUUAUCACUAAGAUUAUAAAUGUGGUGAUGCUUUCCAUGUACCUUAGCAGCACCUCACAGCCAAGAAGGCCAUGCAAGCCAUUUGGAGCUUCUAUUUCCUCUAUCCGUUGCAUGCAGUGUUCUCACAGGCCAGCAGCAGGGCUUAGAGACCACAGAACAGACUGUAGAUGUAGCAGUUUGGUGCACAACUGUCGUACACGCUCAGUCAGGAUGGGAAAAUAAAGAAUCCCUCUGGAUACAGCUAGAGAAAGCUGAACUGAACUGAGUGUGUAGCCAUUUCAGCUGGACAUUGCUGAGAGCUCCCAACAUCCAAUCAUUGAAAGACACUGGAGAAUUUUUAAUACUAGGCACUCAGCACUGUAGCUUUGGGGUUCGACCACGUGCAAGAGUCUCCUCAUGACACAGAUGGCAACAAAGUCGGGUGGGGAAAGGCACUUCUUCUUUCCCUCCAGGUGUCUGUGUCACCUACUUACAACAUGCUAGGGCACUGAAAUCAGCAUUUACACAUUGAAAGGAUGGCAGAUAGACAGCAGUCCACCAGCAUCGAAGCCAGCGUGGACUCAGGCUUUUUCCGCUGAAUCCCUGCAGGCCCUGCUGCUGCUGGCUGGGGCUGACGCAGAGGGCAAAGUGCUCUUUGCUGACUCAAGCUGGCUUGCAGCACUGUGGCUCAUGUCUUUUAGACUCUGUAUCCAGAUUGCAUUUAUAUGUGUAUUUUGCAUUUUAAGACCAGGAAGAAACUCCAGCACACCAUGCUCUCCCUUGCACAACAGAUGUGUCUGCUACCCUUUCUGAGCUGAGGGACUGCUGCCAGACCUCAUGCACCCCACAGCCUACCAAACCUCUGUAUCAGACAUCUCAUCAGACUCUGCUGGUCUAUCACUGGACCCACCUCAGCAGAGCCCAGUGCAAAAAUUGUACUGUGAAACCAUUCAGAGAGUGCUUCUUCAGUGCUAGCCAGAUCUUAGCUGCUUGCUAACAUUCCACCCAUCCCAAUUGCUUGGAGCCCAGCUGGUCCCUGGAGAAGAUGGACAAGGCCAAGGAUUACCAGAAGCCCCACAGUGAGGGAGUUCAGCAGGUGGUAGCACAUCGUCACGGGUUAGACUGAACACACAUUCCCUAGUCACACAUGCUAACAAUCCAGACAUGCUUGCAGACCAGGCUAGGAGACACUGGGAGCACUGCACUCCCUUACAUUCCUAAAGCACAAUGCUCAAUAAAAAGGCCACAAGACACGGACAACUAAUUCCUUCAGUGAAUGUCUCUUCACACUGCUUCAAGGAUUAAAAAUCCUAUCUCCUAAGAAAGCCAGCUGCCUCCACCACAUCAUGCAUUACUGCUGCCAUCCUAUAAUGCCUGGGAAAGAAAAGGCAGGCUAUUGCAUGUCGUUUUGUUAGCCUGCCCCAGACACAAGCGAUGCAAACAGUUGACCUCGGUCACAAAUGGACAAACAUAGCUCUGCUCUCAAGCGCUACAGUCACAGACCGCUGAUUGAUCUUCCCAUGAUCAGAGGCAGCUUCAGUGAAUGUUCAGGUACUGAAGCCUGGAUACGGACACACAGCUAUAGAUAAUGGCAGUUGGAAAAUAAAGCUGACUUUCAAUAACCACUACAUUCUGCAAUGUGAUUUUCCUGAGUAUUAGCAUGAACAAAGCUAUUACCUUGUGUAUGGGAAUUGCUAGUUCAUGGUCUGAACCAAUGAUUGAGCACCAAGUGAGAAAGCGUGGCUAACCAAGGGAGCACAGGUGCAAGCAAUGCACCUGAGUGACUGGAAGGGCUGGACUGGGUCCACUCCUCCUCACCUCCAUUAAAGGGUUAGCAGCUGAGGGAGUGGCAUGCCUUUCUGGAAAUUGUGCCCUUCUCAAGACUCCACCAGCCUUUGGAAAGGGUGAGCCACUUCUUUCUGUAUCACUUCCUAAACUAAAUCUUGAUGAAUACCUUUACAAGUGUGCUCCUUAUCCUAGUAGAUUGGCUUUCAUUGCUGCACACCUUAGAAGUGAUUUAGAACUGUCUCUAGACUGAGAAUCUAUUGUUCAGAUAAUGUAACAAGUACCCAAUAUAUUGCCUAGGCCUUGACUCACCACCUCUGGAGGUGUUCAAGAAGUGUUUAGAUAUGGUACUAAGGAACAUCGUUUAGUGGGAAAAUAUCGGUGGUAGGUGGAUGGUUGGACUAGAUGAUCGUGGAGGUUUUUUCCAACCCUGGCGAUUUUAUGAUUCAUUAAUACAUGUGUUAACUCCCUCUUAAAGCUCAGUAGUUCCAUGCUGUUGUAAGAGGAUGGAUCACUUCAGGUUCAGAUUCUGUCCUCCCAUCAAUAAAGCUCACACAGACUUUGUUUUG